UACGGAGGGGGCUAGCGUUGUUCGGAAUUACUGGGCGUAAAGCGCACGUAGGCGGCUUUGUAAGUUAGAGGUGAAAGCCCGGGGCUCAACUCGGAAUUGCCUUUAAGACUGCAUCGCUAGAAUUGUGGAGAGGUAAGUGGAAUUCCGAGUGUAGAGGUGAAAUUCGUAGAUAUUCGGAAGAAACACCAGUGGCGAAGGCGACUUACUGGACACAUAUUGACGCUGAGGUGCGAAAGCGUGGGGAGCAAACAGG
rnacentral:rRNA from 1 species